rnacentral:ncRNA from 1 species
UAUCCGGUGCCAAUUUAUUAUAUUUUUUUUUAAAUUAUAUUUUCCAAACGUUGGACGUUCUCUAUCAAUAUUCGAAAAUGUCGCUACCCGGAACUCCUUCGUCGAUCGCAGCGCUAGUGUCGCGAACGAAUUUCGAAAAAGUUUUUUCCAUCGGCCACCAGAGGGCACAUUCACGAAUUUUUUUUUUUCUUAAGCGCACGCGGGCGCGUGUAUCCGGUGCCAAUUUAUUAUAUUAUAAAUCCUCAACUGUCGAUGGUAGGUUCCAUGCCUACCAUGGUGGUAACGGGUAACGGGGAAUCAGGGUUCGAUUCCGGAGAGGGAGCCUGAGAAACGGCUACCACAUCCAAGGAAGGCAGCAGGCGCGCAAAUUACCCACUCCCGGAACGGGGAGGUAGUGACGAAAAAUAACGAUACGGGACUCAUCCGAGGCCCCGUAAUCGGAAUGAGAACACUUUAAAACCUUUAAACGAGGAUCAAUUGGAGGGCAAGUCUGGUGCCAGCAGGCGCGGUAAUUCCAGC